AUUGAACGCUGGCGGCAGGCCUAACACAUGCAAGUCGAGCGGAUGAAGGGAGCUUGCUCCUGGAUUCAGCGGCGGACGGGUGAGUAAUGCCUAGGAAUCUGCCUGGUAGUGGGGGAUAACGUCCGGAAACGGGCGCUAAUACCGCAUACGUCCUGAGGGAGAGAGUGGGGGAUCUUCGGACCUCACGCUAUCAGAUGAGCCUAGGUCGGAUUAGCUAGUUGGUGGGGUAAAGGCCUACCAAGGCGACGAUCCGUAACUGGUCUGAGAGGAUGACCAGUCACACUGGAACUGAGACACGGUCCAGACUCCUACGGGAGGCAGCAGUGGGGAAUAUUGGACAAUGGGCGAAAGCCUGAUCCAGCCAUGCCGCGUGUGUGAAGAAGGUCUUCGGAUUGUAAAGCACUUUAAGUUGGGAGGAAGGGCAGUAAGUUAAUACCUUGCUGUUUUGACGUUACCAACAGAAUAAGCACCGGCUAACUUCGUG
rnacentral:rRNA from 1 species